AGUGAACGCUGGCGGCAGGCCUAACACAUGCAAGUCGAACGGCAGCACAGAGGAGCUUGCUCCUUGGGUGGCGAGUGGCGGACGGGUGAGGAAUGCAUCGGAAUCUGCCCAAUCGUGGGGGAUAACCUCGGGAAACCGGGACUAAUACCGCGUACGACCUUCGGGUGAAAGCAGGGGAUCGCAAGACCUUGCGCGAUUGGAUGAGCCGAUGCCGGAUUAGCUAGUUGGCGGGGUAAAGGCCCACCAAGGCGACGAUCCGUAGCUGGUCUGAGAGGAUGAGCCGCCACGCGUGAGCUGGGACACGGUCCAGACUCCUACGGGAGGCAGCGGUGGGGAAUAUGGGACAAUGGGGGCAAGCCAGAUCCAGCCGUGCCGCGUGGGUGAAGAAGGCCUGCGGGUUGUAAAGCGCUUUUGUUGGGAAAGAAAAGCAAUCGGUUAGUACCCGGUUGUUCUGACGGUACCCAAUGAAUAAGCACCGGCUAACUUCGUGCCAGCCGCCGCAGUAA
rnacentral:rRNA from 1 species